GACGAACGCUGGCGGCGUGCCUAAUACAUGCAAGUAGAACGCUGAAGAGAGGAGCUUGCUCUUCUUGGAUGAGUUGCGAACGGGUGAGUAACGCGUAGGUAACCUGCCUGGUAGCGGGGGAUAACUAUUGGAAACGAUAGCUAAUACCGCAUAAAAUUGAUUAUUGCAUGAUAAUUAAUUGAAAGAUGCAAUUGCAUCACUACCAGAUGGACCUGCGUUGUAUUAGCUAGUUGGUGAGGUAACGGCUCACCAAGGCGACGAUACAUAGCCGACCUGAGAGGGUGAUCGGCCACACUGGGACUGAGACACGGCCCAGACUCCUACGGGAGGCAGCAGUAGGGAAUCUUCGGCAAUGGGGGGGAAACCCCUGACCCGAGCAAACGCCCGCGUGAGUGAAAGAAAGGUUUUUCGGAU
rnacentral:rRNA from 1 species